rnacentral:tRNA from 1 species
UAUUAUAUCUAAAAUAGCAUAAUGGUGCACUAAAUUUAGAAUUUAGUGGUGGUGUGAAAGCACUU